AGUGAACGCUGGCGGCAGGCCUAACACAUGCAAGUCGAGCGGCAGCGGGUCCUUCGGGAUGCCGGCGAGCGGCGGACGGGUGAGGAAUACAUCGGAAUCUGCCCUGUCGUGGGGGAUAACCUAUGGAAACUUAGGCUAAUACCGCAUACGACCUACGGGUGCAAGCGGGGGAUCGCAAGACCUCGCGCGACAGGAUGAGCCGAUGUCCGAUUAGCUAGUUGGCGGGGUAAAGGCCCACCAAGGCGACGAUCGGUAGGUGGUCGGAGAGGAUGAUCAGCCACACUGGGACUGAGACACGGCCCAGACGCCUACGGGAGGCAGCAGUGGGGAAUAUUGGACAAUGGGCGCAAGCCUGAUCCAGCCAUGCCGCGUGGGUGAAGAAGGCCUUCGGGUUGUAAAGCCCUUUUGUCCGGGAAGAAAUCGUCUUGGCUAAUACCCCGGGCGGAUGACGGUACCGGAAGAAUAAGCACCGGCUAACUUCGUG
rnacentral:rRNA from 1 species